GGUGGGAUCGCAUAGCGGUCGAGUGCGCGGGCUUGGAAAGCUCGUAGGUCUGUGAGGGCCUCCAGGGUUCGAAUCCCUGUCCCACCGCCA
rnacentral:tRNA from 1 species